ACUCCUUCUAAAGCUAAAUAUCACCACGAGACCGAUAGCGAACAAGUACCGUGAGGGAAAGUUGAAAAGCACUCUGAAUAGAGAGUCAAAAAGUACGUGAAACUGCCUAGGGCUCAAGCCCGUUGAACUCGAUUAUCCGAGCGGAGACAUUCACCUGCSGUUGGCACGGGUUCCGCCCCGGGCAGGCCGCAGGGCACUUGUCUCCCGCGUCACGAGGACAUUGCGAUCCAUUACGAAACAGCUUUCGCGUCGCAAGACGCAAGGUCGCCCGACAGUUGCCCCUUGGUGCCGGUUGCUUGCCCCACAGUAGCGACGCUCAGUUCUGAAGGCCUGUGCCGCGAGGUGGGGCUUACUGCACGUGGUGUUUAGCAGUCGGGCGCGUGAUGGAUUUCCG
rnacentral:rRNA from 1 species